rnacentral:piRNA from 1 species
UAAGAAAUCAGACCAUCUGGCAUCUCGGA